AUGGGCCAUUUUUUCACUUUGCUUCUUGCUGAUCAGCAGGUCAAGUCUGGCACUGAUAAACCAAAGGAUACCAGCCUUUCCCUUCCUGAUACUAUUGCCUCUCAUAGCAGGACUCUAAGUUCUUAUGCUGACCUUUCAGUGUCUGAGAAGUCAGCCACUACAAAAAAUGGGAAUGGGAAUCUCGGCGCGUUUCCCGCCGCCGGGGUCAGGGGUCGGGGUUCGGGUCGUGGGGCGGAGGGAAGAGCGAGCGGGCAGGAGGCGCCGGCGCCAGACGCGGAGGGAAAGAGCUGCGAGCAGCCGCCGAGAGGCCGCGCAACCUGCGACGACCGAGCCAGGCCAGCCGCCAAGGACACUCCUGAGGACCACCAUACCUCCACUGAGAACGCAGAUGAGUCCAACCAGGACCCACAGUUUGAGCCAAUAGUUUCUGUUCCUGAGCAAGAAAUUAAAACGCUGGAAGAAGAUGAAGAGGAGCUUUUUAAAAUGCGUGCAAAGCUAUUCCGAUUUGCUUCUGAGAACGAUCUUCCAGAAUGGAAGGAACCAGGCACGGGUGACAUCAAGCUGGGACCAUCCGCCUUCUCAUGAGGAGGGACAAGACCCUGAAGAUCUGCGCCAACCACUACAUCACACCGAGGAUGGAGCUGAAGCCCCGUGCGGGCAGUGGCCGUGCCUGGGUCCGGAGCACCCACGCCGACUGCGCUGAUGAGGGUCCCAAGCCGGAGCUGCUGGCCAUCCGCCUUCUGAAUGCUGAAAAUGCACAGAAAUUCAAAACAAAGUUUGAAGAAUGCAGGAGAGAGAUCGAAGAGAGAGAAAAGAAAGCAGGAUCAGGCAAAAACGAUAAUGCCGAAAAAGUAGCUGAAAAGCUAGAAGCUCUUUCAGUGAAGGAGGAGACCAAGGAGGAAGCUGAGGAGAAGCAGUAAACCGUCUUAUUUCCAUUUCCUUUCUUUUUAAAAUUUUGCUCUGCCCCUCCUUUUCGGUAUUUUUAUUAUGUUUUGUUUUUACAAGGGACUUUAUAUAAAGAACU